rnacentral:rRNA from 1 species
UACGUAGGCAGCGAGCGUUGUUCGGAAUCAUUGGGCGUAAAGCGCGUGUAGGCGGUUAGAUAAGUCGAGUGUGAAAUCCCUGGGCUUAACCGAGGAAGUGCAUUCGAAACUAUCUGGCUAGAAGACGGCAGAGGAAGGUGGAAUUCCUAGUGUAGAGGUGAAAUUCGUAGAUAUUAGGAGGAAUACCGGUGGCGAAGGCGGCCUUCUGGACCGAUCUUGACGCUGAGACGCGAAAGCGUGGGGAGCAAACAGG